GGCGGACGGGUGAGUAACACGUGGAUAACCUACCCAUAAGACUGGGAUAACUUCGGGAAACCGGAGCUAAUACCGGAUAAUAUAUUGAACCGCAUGGUUCAAUAGUGAAAGACGGUUUUGCUGUCACUUAUAGAUGGAUCCGCGUCGCAUUAGCUAGUUGGUAAGGUAACGGCUUACCAAGGCAACGAUGCGUAGCCGACCUGAGAGGGUGAUCGGCCACACUGGAACUGAGACACGGUCCAG
rnacentral:rRNA from 1 species